AAUCACCCAAAAUUUCUAAUCUCCUCUAGCCGUUCACACAUUCUUUCUGAGAAGAUAAAGAUUCCUUCCUUCCCAAAUUCGAUCCUCAUUAACGGUGAUCAAAUCCUCCAAAAAUCUAUUCUUUCCAAUGAUUUCACGAUUUUGUUAUACUGCUACUUAUCAAUCCUUGUGUUCUCUACCAUCUGCGAAAAUUCUCUCCAACAACUAAAUUUGCAAGAGCCAAACAAAUCAAGAAGAGUUUUUCUUCUGCAUUCCUUUAUCAACCAAAGUCCAACAACGUAACGGGCCGCAAACCUUACUUGGAUUUGUGUACACCUAUGGUAGACCGUGUGUCAGCGUACGGGUUGGCCGGUGUAGUGACUUGGUUUGUGGCCACAUUCCAAGUCAUGUAUGAGCAGAUAUGGUAAACGUCUAUGGGAAAAUGACUGUGCAGUCAAUGGAAUUUUUGGUGCCUCGGGCCUUUCAAAAGCUAAAACCCCGAUGGUUACCUAACAAUGGCAUGAUAAAACAUAAAUAUUUUUGAUAACUUGUUUUCGGCAUGAGUCCUCUGAGUAUUUUAUAGUAUCAGCCUUGCAUGUGUUUCCCUAUGUGCAAGUUGAGCGGCGAUGAGCUUGAGGUGGUGUUGAGUCGAACCUGAAUUAUUGUUGGAUUUUAUCUUGAACUUCGAGGGUCGUCGUGUCUUCAUACACGACGUCACUCUUACUCUUGAAUGCUUCCGUUGAGAUAAUACUAUUUUUCGUAAUUAUAUUUUGAACCCCUCUUCA